GUCAGUGGCAAUACCUCUAAGAAAGCACCGAUUCACGUCCGAUCACCGAAGUUAGACUACGUCGGGCCAGGUUUGUACUUCCAUGGGCAACCGGCUAAUAAUACCCGAUUUUGCUGACU
rnacentral:rRNA from 1 species